AGCAGGCUUCCCGCGGAGCAGGGAGCCCGAUGCGGGGCUCGAUCCCAGGACCCUGGGAUCAUGACCUGAGCCGAAGGCAGACGCUUAAUGACUGAGCCACCCAGGCGCCCCUGGAGGUUUUUAUUUUUAAAGCACAGAAGUUAUUUACAUUUUAAUUUGAAAUAUCUGUAGCAGAACCUUAUCUUGGAACUAAAAACUUCAAUGUAAAAACAUACAUUCUGGAACUUACCAUCCUUAUCAUUAAAAUAACUGAAAAGUCCCCAGUUUAAAGACUAAUGCCUUAAUAAAUUUGACAAUUUUUACAGCUUAUCAAACUUCUUUCGCAAUGCCGGGUAGACAACUAUUUGGCACAUGUACGAUGACCACAAGCAUAUUUCAGCCACUGCUUUUAUCCGAGCAAUUCUUUUUAUGUCAUCAGAGUAGAUACAUUUUUUGACAAGUUAUUCAAUGAUAUAUUAUAAUCUAAUCUAAAAACCUAAUUUUUUUUCUCCAGUUGUGUAUUAUCUAGUAAGUCUUCCUUGUGUUCAUUUUAUAAAAAGUAAUCUCUGCUCCCGACGUGGGGCUCGAAGUCACAACCCCAAGAUCAAGAGUCGCAUGCAGGCUCCACUGACUGAGCCAGCCAGGUGCUCCCUGUUUUUGGUUGUUGUUUUAAUUUUAUUUAUUUAUUUGAGAGAGAGUGAGAGAGAGAGAGAGAGAUCACCAGCAGGGGGAGGGGUAGAGGAAGAAGCAGACUCCCCACUGAGCAGCGAGCCCGAGGUGGGGCUCGAUCCCAGGACCCUGGGGCCAUGACCUGAGCCUAAGGCAGAUGCUUAACUGACCGAGCCAGCCACAUACCCCGGUGUUUUUAGAGUAUUCCUUGUGUUCAUUUGUGUGACUCUGUAUAAAAACAAGCAAAACACAGACAACUGAAAAUCCGUAUUUUCAUUUAUCUGAAUCUUAAAACCUGAACUUCGAAGGAAUCCAGCAGAUAUGUACUUUGUGUAUUUGGGGGUUAGAUCCGUGAUGGGAACCAGCAUCGGUAUGGGCCCUCAAAGGUAUUUGGAAAUAUGUGGGGGCAGUUUUGGUUGUCUCAGUACCUAAAGGCACACCUGACACUUGGUUUCCUCCAGCCAAGGAAGCUAAGUGACUCACACUUGUCUCACUUGAAAUGCCGGCAGAAAAGAAGGGGGAUUAUGUUUUUGUAAAUAUCUUCUUAUUUAACGUAACUUGGACUUCAACAAGCUCUUUUGGGUAGAAUUUGUCUUUUCCUCAUUUGUAACUUUGGAUGGGCCUGUUAAGGAGUUUUCAUUGUCAGAUUUCAAUUUUGUUCAUAUAAAAUUUUAGUUGAUGACACUAAGUAGUUCAAUUAAUCAGGAAUGUCUGAGUUGCUUAUUUUUUGGAACCUUUGUGUUUUGUUGCAAAAUCAUGUAAUUUAGCCAGACUAAAGAUUGGAAGAUUUCACUGCAUGAAUUAUAGGAAGUUGAGCAAUUUUGGUCUCACUAAAACGAGACUGGGUGACUGCUCUCAUUGUACUUUCUUGCCUUUACAAGAUUUCAUGUGAAACAUAUAUAGGCACUUAUUUUCAUUUCAUUGACCAUUCAUUAAAUAUCACUUAGUGUCAAAUUGGCCCGUUUCAUGAUGAGACACAAUCUUAUUUAUUUAUCGUAUUUUCUCAUUAAAGUUAAUUUUUAAACUAAUGACUCAUUUCUACUUUUAAAGGUAAUUCAUCUCACUAGAAAUUAAAAAAAAAAUUUUAAACAAAAAGUAGCUUAAAUAAUUAUCAUGACAUGUGUUACUUGUUUGCUGCAAGGUUUUCUGCGUCUUCCUGAUGAGCAAGCACGGGGCAGAAGCAUCUGAGCCGCAUCAGGCAUUUGACGGAUUUGAUUAAUGUGUGCUGAGGGAUACAAAUAAAACUUUUGUACAAUCAAAGUAAAAGAAACAAAAUGGCACAUAUGUAUGCUCUGUGAAAUAGUCAUUAUUAUUCCAGUUUUUUGAUAAAAACAAAGUUCAGACUAAGUGACCUGCCUAACAUCACCUAUUCAGUGAAAAUGGCGUCGGAACUCUGAGCCAACCCUGUUGAUGUCCUCACUAUGACAGGCUGCCUCACUAUCUGCCAUACACCUGGAUUGAGAUAUUUUCACAUGAGGAGUUAGACACUGCUUUCCUACAAAGGAUUAAGGCCAGCGGCAUGGCUAAGGAUCAUGGAAAAGUCAGUGAAAGACAAAUUGGAGUCAAAGCCAAUUAGAAGACGCGGGUAAGAAACUAUUGAAGAGUCAUCAAAAACCUUGCAUAAACAUACAAAGUAUUAACCAUAUUUUGGCAAGAAAUAUUAACCAUGUUUUGAAAAGUUUUUUUUUUUUUUCCAAUUCUAGGUAAAAAUGCUAAUUAUUUGAAAGAGUACAUUAAUGAAGUUUUAAUGAUCUGAACAGAUGGGAGAGAGAAAAAGGGCAAGGGAAGAAGAGAUGGAGGUGGGGACAGUUUUCUUUAGAUAAUUGCCCUCUUUGAGAUGGGGUGUCCUUCUUAAGAAAUUCAUAUAUAUUUCAGUUGAAGCUUUUAAUAUUGUUGGAACUCAGUUAUUUGUAGAAGAUGGGAACUAGCCAUAUAUACUUUGACUUUUCUUUCCUAUUUUUCAUUCAUUCAUUUAUUUAUUUAUUUAUUUUUAAAGGAUUUAUUUGAGAGAG